CUGAGAAAGAUGACAGGAUAAGUGAAAUAUUCUCUUACCAAGGACACAAGCAGACAACAGCUAGCACAAGGCAUAUGCUGUGACAGGAACAGCCACAGCUGUUUCAGGAGCACUGAAACUCACUUUGAGGCGAAGCUUCCCACAUACAAAACCCCCAUGCUGGAUCUGCUGCACUCCAAAGCAUGUGAGUGACAACAGGCUUGACAGCCCUUGGGGUGGUGAAAGAUCUGGCGAGAGCAAGCCUCCUCAGCAUGCUCAUCAGCCUUAAGCAAUCAUGUCUGUGAUCAUGCUGCUGAAAUAAGGAGAUUCUGAAAGACCAGCAGACUGAAAGACAACUGAGAAGUUGGAGCCAUGGCUAUUUGUCUAGGAAUGAUAUCCUUCUGUUAAUAGUAUGGAGAAGCAGUGAUGAUCUAGCACAGUUGGAACUGGAUCUGCUUGCUCUGAACAGCUGGGAGAGCAAAGAUGAAGCGUCAGCUAUUUAGUGUAAUUCCAUGUGUUCUAAAAUCCAGAAUGUCAUGGGAGUGAUGCAUCGCCUUGGCUUGUCAGACUGGUCCUUCUGUGGUACAGAUUAUGUCUGAGGCUGUCUGAGUUUGCUCAGUGUUUGAGAUAAGGAAAG